CAAAGCAAACAACCACCUAAAACGUGUGCUUUUCAAACAGGACCUCUUCCACUGGAAAUACCAUGUCUCCCUCUCAUUUCCCUCUCUUCUGGUAAUCUCCUUGGCCUUUUCAAAAGAUACAGGUCACAUGAACCCCAGGAAAAGCUGUUUCAAGUCAGAAUGGAGUCCAGUCCAGAAAUGAGGUCAAACGCAAUCAUGGAUAGAAUAACUGCAUAAUUAAAGCUACAUACUAGUGGCAUUGGAAAUAAACUGAAAGGAAGAAAGAGACUCCUGAGCUACUUUAAACUCUAGAAAUACAACGUAGCACAUAUCAAAAUCCGGUCUACAUCACGUCAAAGUUAAAGCAUAUCCCAGAAGAACAGACUGAGCCUGAUUCCAGUCGCGCAGUCACUGGUACAAUUUGGACUCCAUCUUGCUGAAAUCACAGGUGGCAUCGCGUUUACUAGAGAGACUUUGCUUUGUGUAUUGCAGCACUUCCUGCUCUGCUCCCUGUCUCCCUGGGGCCCAGGAGCCGUCCAUUUCCUUGGGAACAUUCCUGUCCUGAAAGGGAUUGUCGUCAUCCUUCAUUGCAAAUACUCAGAGGCCUCUGAUAUGCAUAAGCACAAAGAGAGGAAACAAGGGGAAUUUUAAACUUUUGAGGAAUAUGGUAAUUUAUGAGGGACCAGCAUUUAUGAAACAAAAGCCAGCGGUGGCAUUAGAGGGUCAAGAAUAGUUUCCUUGUGAAAGAUGGAGAUGUUGACACCAUCAGCCUUUUACCUUCAGUCAAGCUUAUGAAAAUAACUUUCACCAGAGGGACUAAAUGAAAAAGAAGUAUUUCUAGACUUCUUAAUCACAAUUUGCCUCAAAAGCAAAAAACCUGCCUUUGGUGUCACUGUAUAUUCCAGUGACUUACUGGAAAUGUACAUGGCUGUCCUUGUUAUUUCAUUUCCGAUAUGCAAGAAAAUGAGUGUGAUGUAAAAGGAAAAAUGAUGAAAAUAGUGCAAAGAAACAUGUC
rnacentral:lncRNA from 1 species